rnacentral:rRNA from 1 species
CUAUGUGUUGUUGGGUAGGGGAGCGUUCUGUAAGCCUGCGAAGGUGACCUGUGAGGGUUGCUGGAGGUAUCAGAAGUGCGAAUGCUGACAUAAGUAACGAUAAAGCGGGUGAAAAGCCCGCUCGCCGGAAGACCAAGGGUUCCUGUCCAACGUUAAUCGGGGCAGGGUGAGUCGACCCCUAAGGCGAGGCCGAAAGGCGUAGUCGAUGGGAAACAGGUUAAUAUUCCUGUACUUGGUGUUACUGCGAAGGGGGGACGGAGAAGGCUAUGUUAGCCGGGCGACGGUUGUCCCGGUUUAAGCAUGUAGGCUGGUUAUCCAGGCAAAUCCGGAUAAUCAAGGCUGAGGUGUGAUGACGAGGCACUACGGUGCUGAAGUAACAAAUGCCCUGCUUCCAGGAAAAGCCUCUAAGCAUCAGGUAACAUCAAAUCGUACCCCAAACCGACACAGGUGGUCAGGUAGAGAAUACCAAGGCGCUUGAGAGAACUCGGGUGAAGGAACUAGGCAAAAUGGUGCCGUAACUUCGGGAGAAGG